UGGCUUGCCCUUUCGUGCUCCCCAUUCGUCCCCUCCUCUCUUGUCUUCUCCGCUCGCCGCCGACUCGCGUCCCCUUCGAUUUGCCGUCGUUCUCAGGACGGAGACCUAGCCGCCGCCUCCUCCCGCACUCGCUCGUCCCUCCUCCUCCUCUACGUCUCCUCCACCCAAUCCCUAACCCACGCCGCCGCCGUCUCCUUCACCAGCCCACCGGAAGCCCGCCGUCCACUUCCCCGGCGUCGUCGCCGUGUCCUCGCGUGCACACGGCAGGAGGAGCGCCCCCACCCUCUCCUCUCCUCCUCCCCUUAUCAAGAGCCAGGACAAGGAGGGCCACCGUGGCCGAGCAGGUCAGGUGUUGCGUCCAGAUCGCCAAGGAGCCGCCUGCAAGGUCGGCCAUGGCGUGACUGAGCAGAGCAGCCUCAGCAUGGUCCGGUUGCUGCGGAUUGGUGAGCUAUAGAAGGUACCUCGUGUGGCCUGGUUGAGGUACCAUGCUUGUUGUGGAUUGCAGCCUCAUGUGUGCGUGGAGCACAUCUUGGGUGUUCAGGGUUUAGGCAACCCCAACAACUCUGGCUCCAUCGUCCCUGAGCUCAGCCGUCUUGUGAAUCUUUAGUACCUGGAGCUGUACAGGAACAACCUCAAUGGCGAGAUCCCAAAAGAAUUGGGCAAACUGAAGAAAUUAAUCGGUUUGGAUUUGUAUGCCGAUAAUCACUGGAAGAAUCCCCAAGUCACUUUCCAAGCUCAGCUCACUGAUAUUGAUGAAUAUAUGUUUAUUGUAGCAGGUAAAUCCUUCUAUUUUUAGGAGAAGGAAAGCUAACUACUUUGAAGCUGGGCAGAAGCAAUAUCAUGGUGGCACACUUGGUGUGCCCAUGCCAUCAGUCUCAAGCAUUGGGUGUAGAAGUUCUCCGCCAACCUGAAGUGUGUGUGCAUGCUGAUCGGUCUCAAGCGUUGGCUGUAGAAGUUCUCUGCCAAUCCGUCCAUACAUGCCACAGAUUACUUCAAUCUGAAGGCGUCAUGAUUGUCAUUUGGUCAGUGCUUGAUGUGCUUCUGUGCUGGAUCAAGUCCAAUUAGCUACUGCUAAUUAUUGCACCCUUUGUGGAGGAGGACAACGACCAGGGCAUCCAUGGUCGAGAGCUCGGCUCCUUGGCGCUUCACAAAAAAUACUUGCGUCGGUUGGGACCAAAGUUUCAGAUCGCGGUGCUGGAACCCUUCCCGCGACGCAAUCCCAUAAAAAACGCGAUCUGCCGCUAACCGCGCGAUCACGCGUGAAACGGCGCUAUUUGACUUCGCUAUCGCUGCAAAAUCGCGGGCAUGGGCCGAAAGACUGAAACACAAGGGCCCAAAUGCCCCAAACAGAUCAGAACGGCCCAAAUUCGCGAUGGUAUAUAAUACCGCCUCCAGAAAACCUAGCUCGUGUCCCCCAUUCCCUUCUCUCCCUCCCACUAAAAAGUUUGCGGCGGCUGCGCUGUUCUUCCCAGCAGUGCCGACUGUUGCUUCGUUGGAAGCCAGAUUCGGUUGCGGGGGAGGUGGAAAGGCGACCGGCGACGAGGGGCCUCUGCACGACGUCGCCUCUACGACCACGAUGACAUCUCAGUCUCAGUCUCAAACGGUUCCAGCAGCCGGGGCAAGCACAUCGCCAGGAGGUUCACACAAAGAGACGCAGCAGGCUGGUGCAUGACAAGAUGAGUGACCUUGUUUUCAUCAAGUUCAACUCCAAACUGAAGGACAAGAAACUAAACAAACUCAAGGACCCCAUUGAGAAGCAGGUGGUAGAUGUUUUAGAAGAUGAUGAGAAUGAAUGGAUCACUGGUGUGGUGCCUAAUGGUGAUGAAGAACAAGUUGAAGGUGAAGAUCAAGAUCAAGAAAUUCCAUAUGCAAGCUCGCAUGCUGGACCAGGAACUUCUGCUAUUAAUCCCCUUAUAAGGAAGAGGGGUGUCUAUGGUAAGAAGAAGAUGAUGAUCCCUGUUACUCCUCAAGAAGAUCUGCUCUCUGCUUCCUCUGCUUCAGAAAGUGACGACGACGAGGACACCAACAUGAGUUCUGGUUCUGACAUGUGAGCUUGUCGGUUUCUUUAUGAAGUUCGUUUUGGCGCUCAUGAUUCUAUCCUUUCCUGUGUGCUUUUGACAAAUGAAUUCUGAAGACUUUGUGAUGCAUGUAAUGGACUAUGGACAUGCUGCUGUUGUUACUUAACUUCUGCCGAACUGCUGAUGUUAUGCUUGAUGCAGUCUUGAAUUUAUGUUUUUAUUUAUUUGUUGAA